rnacentral:rRNA from 1 species
CCUACGAGUGGCAGCAGUGGGGAAUAUUGGGCAAUGGAGGCAACUCUGACCCAGCAACGCCGCGUGAGCGAUGAAGGUCUUCGGAUUGUAAAGCUCUUUAAGCGGGGACGAAGAAAGUGACUGUACCCGCAGAAUAAGCCUCGGCUAACUACGUGCCAGCAGCCGCGGUAAUACGUAGGAGGCAAGCGUUAUCCGGAAUGACUGGGCGUAAAGGGAGCGCAGGCGGCGUGGCAAGUCAGAUGUGAAAACCCGGGGCCCAACCCCGGGAGUGCAUUUGAAACUGCCAUGCUGGAGUGCCGGAGAGGUAAGCGGAAUUCCUAGUGUAGCGGUGAAAUGCGUAGAUAUUAGGAGGAACACCAGUGGCGGAGGCGGCUUACUGGACGGUAACUGACGCUGAGGCUCGAAAGCGUGGGGAGCAAACAGGAUUAGAUACCCGAGUAGUC